ACUUAAAUUACAUUUAUUCAAUGUUGUUAACGUUAUCUUGUUUAGUCUUAGAAUACUUGUGAAAUCGAAGAAAUAUUUAAGUUAAUUUUGAAAGUUUCGCUAGUAAAGGAUAAAUAAUAACAGAGAUAAUUUAAUAUUACGUAUAAACAUGAAAAUAUCAAGCGACCGACGUAUUCCUGAACGUUAUUAACCUUUGAGUUCAGGAGUAAUUAAGGUUUCAUUUAAUUUAUAGUCACCUUUAUACAGCAAUAUGGAGUAUAUCAAAAGGAAUUAAGAAUAUCUCGACGAAGCUAUUAAGGUAAAUUUGUAACAGAGUAAUGUAGGCGUCCUGAGUCAUUCAAACUUAUGCCGAGAUUACACUGCGAUGCUGUGACGAUCUUUGUUUAUCUUAGACUUUGAACCCUCAGUCCAUGAACUUUUGCGGGCCUCGGACCUCGCGUUAUUAAGAAGAAUAAACAUGAAAGAGUAUUCGUCUUUGAAGAGAAGUGCAUGAAGCAGUGGUUCUUAAGAUAGGUUUAAGACUCAACCUUCAGACUGCGCGUGUAAUAGCGUCUAUGACAUUCCUCAGAGCUGUGGGUGUCAAAUCUUGAAGUCUUUAUCUGUGCGUCUUAAAGGUUAUAUAUACGCUGUGAUUUUAUUUCAUGUAAUAUAAAUGUCAAUUUGACACUUCCCACUUGAUAACCGACACGAAACUUGAUUGUGUGAUUUUUUGUAUACUUUUCGACACUCGUACGGUACAAUACACUGUGAAUGUC